CUUGAGCGUAUGCAAAAGAUUUUUGCACAUAUUCAUCUUUUUGGCCGUUUUCGGUGCUUUUUGACUGUUUGGAACAUUUUUAAAGAUUACGUUAAAACGUUGUUGAUACUUAUUAAACUAUUGUUUUGUUAAUUAAAAUAAUAAUCAUAAUUAUAAUAAUA